rnacentral:tRNA from 1 species
UAGGUUCAGGUCCUAAUGCCUUAAUCGGUGUGCAGGUUCAAGUCCUGUCGCGGACACCAAAUCAAAAACGGUGCAGACCUUGAUGAU